CCCCAGGGCCCCCACCUGCUCCUCGUAGAUCUUCUCGCGCCGGUUGGCCACCUCGUUGCGGAUGAUGGUGCCGAUGUACUCGAUGACCAUGGUGUGCUUCUCGAUGUCCUUGGCGGCGUAGAGCCCCAGGCCCUGGAUGCGGGACCGCGCCAGGCCCUGGGGCUCACCGAUCGCAGUGCCGGCACUGGAUGAGCAGGUCGUCCUCCACGUACUUCUCGCGGCAGAAGGGGCAGACGACGAGGCUGGCGCAGGGCGCGCAGUGCGUGUAGUUGUUCUGCCACUCGCAGUGGAAGCCGGGGGAAGCCGCCCCGCACUGCACGCAGCACACGCACCUGGGGGGGGGGAGGCAGAGCAGAGGGCUCAGCACUGGCCCCUCGCCACCCCCACAGGGCUCCCCAGGGCCCCCCACGCACCAUUUGCACUUCCAGCCCCCCUUGGGCACGGUCUGCAGCGGCGGGUCCAGGCAGUACGUGUGGUAGCUGAUGUCGCAGUCGUCGCAGAGCAGGAGCCGGGAAGGGUCGGAGGCUUUGCCGCACACCUCGCAGACGAUGCACUCCACGCAGCGCCAGCCCUUCAGCAGCAUCACCUUCGUGAUCUGGGGGCGGCAGGGCGGCCACGUGAGCCUCGGCACAGCCACGGGGGUCCCGGGGGUGGCACGGCCACAGGGGACGCCCCAAAGCAUGCGGCAACACAUCCACGGGGAUGUGCCCAGCACCACCCCACGCCCCGAAGCUCCCAGCCUGAGCCCCCCAAGGGGCACAGCCUGGCAUGGGGGGGAUGCAGCCUUCCUCACCUUGCUGUUGACGCAGUAGGGGUGGUAGCACUGGGAACACUGGGAGCAGGCCAGGAGGUGACCCUCGGCCCCGCGCCCGAAGCUGCCGCACACCACGCACAUGUCCUGCAGGAGGGGGGCCGUGAGAGGAGCCGGGGGGGGGGACGACAGGCGCCCGUCCCACCCGUCCUGCAGCACCCCGGUUACCUGCAUGAGCACAAACUUGUCGGUGUUGGAGAAGAGGACGACCGUGUUCUGCAUCGUGUCGUCGUCGUCCUCGUCUUCCUCCUUGCUGGGCGAGCUCUCCACGUCGGCGAGCUGCGGGUAGAGCGGGGGGCUCAGGGCAAGGGGCAAAGCUGGGGGCUCAGGGCCAGGGCCCCCCCCUGCUUGCCACGCGGCUUGGGGAGCGCUGGCCACAGCCUGGUGCUAAACCGGGGCACGCGAGAACAUCCAAGAGCAGCAGCCCCCUGCCUGCAAGCCAGCCCCUCCCCGGCAGCCAGCUCCGCACCAGCCCUACCCCGGUGGGGUGAAGCCCCCAGCCCCGCAGCGCAGCCCCAGGCAGACCCCCCCGGGACCCCUGCCCGCCCGUCGGCCCAAGGGCUCCCGAGCCUUUCCAAGGGAUUGGGGUGCUGGGGAUGGGGACGGAGGGGACUCUCGGCUCUCAGCCCUGCCACCUAGCAGCUCGGGGACACCCCCGGGGCCCCCCGCCUCUGCCCCCAGCCCAGCCUUACUGCUAGGGUGUCAACGGACGAGGUGGUCGACUUCAGGCGUGCACGGCCCCGGCCCCGGCCCCCGUGGGACCCACCUCGGGGGCGCCUCCGCCCAGGGAAGCUGCUGCUGCGACCCUAGGGCCAAGGGGAGAGGGGGGGGUUACGGCAAGCUGGGGGCGACCCGGCCAGACCCCCCCCCACCAUCGCGCGCGUCCCGGCUGGGGCAGAGGCAGCAGAAGGGCACGGCCCCCGUCCCACCCCAUCGCGCGCACGCGGCCCUCGCCUACACGGGGCAGCCCGGGGAAGGGGGGCACGGCCCCAGCGGGGUGGGGCGGUGGGGUGGGGUCCCCCCCCUCUGUACCUGCUUGACACGGGAGCGCCCCGGGGAGCUGCGCCGCCGGCUCUUGUCCCCAUCCCCUUUGGCGGCCGGCUCGAAGAGCAGCGAGUCGUCGGUCUCGGCGCCCAGCGGCAGCGACCCGGCGUCCUCCUUCUGCAGGCUGGCGUCGGCCGAGGCCAGCCCCAGCUCGAGGGACAGCGAGCCCCCGCCUUCGGGGUCCGGCGAGCCCAGCAGCGGCUCCGAGCCGGGGAAGCUGCUGCUCGUGUCCCCCUGGCUCAGGUUGGAGAUCUCGUUGAGGAUAUCGGGCCGGGGGCGCAGGGCGGGGGGCUCGGGGCCCCCCUCGUCGCCGCGCUCCAGCAGCUUCUCCCCAGCCGGGCACACUUCCAUGGGGGUCUCGGGGCCCAACUCCUCCGGCUCCAGGAGCAGGGGGGACCCCUUGGAUUCAGGGUCCCCCCCCGCCCGGCCUUCCUCCAGCCCGUCCUCCUCGCUCAGCGGCGGGGAGCUGCCACUGGUGCCCUCCCGCUCCAGUCUCGGCGCUUCUUCUUCCUCUUCCUCCUCUUCCUCAGGCAGGCCCGGGAAGGACCCCAGUUCCGGGGCUGGGCUGAUGUGGGGGCCAUCUCCAGGGGGGCUG
rnacentral:lncRNA from 1 species